rnacentral:misc_RNA from 1 species
GUAGGUGAACCUGCGGAAGGAUCAUUAACACGUUCCAAAACGUAUCAACCAAACGGUUAAGUGCAAACUUAUUCCCUAACUAGGGGAGCUGUUCAGAUAUCUUUAGUGAUGGGUGGGUCUUCGGACUCACAGAGAUAUUUGGGCUGGGGUCUCGAGCCUCAAGUUCCCUUUUUAGGCUAACCCCUUUUUUCUAUCACUUCCAACUAACCAUUUUCACCCCUUUGAACCUAUUGACUAAAUCUUUCGAACGAAGAAAUUUGUUUGGAAUUGUAUAUCUAACACUGUACAACUCUUAGCAAUGGAUAUCUUGGUUCUC